UCUUCUGUUAUGUUUUUUUUUUUUUUUCCCUGUUUGAUUCCUUAGAAAAUGCAGGGAGAAACCAUUCGUUCUGUACUUUUAUAUACAUAUAUAUAGAUAUCUACAUAACCCCCUGCCAUCUUCUUCUUUCUUCCCCGAUCUCAUUUCCGCACUCUUCCCCUCUCCUGCAAAACCCUAAUUUAUUCGGAGAUCUCCCUCCGCAAAACCCUUAUCGCGAUCGGCCCCGAUCCAAACCCUAAUUGUUGUUGGAUUGAUGUUCGAUUGACAGAUCUGAUCUGUCCGAUUCUAGAUUUGGAUCGCAUGUUGUUGAGUUUUUCGGCGAAUUUAGUGUGAUUUAUUGAAGAAGGGAUCUGUUGGUUUGAUUUGAUUUAACAAUGGCAGCUACUGUCCCCCCAGGGGCACCUAGAGCCACGAAUACACCGCCACCACCACCACUUAAUAAAAUAACUUAAAAUAUCACAACGUCAUUCUCAAUGUAUGUGAGAGAGGGCAUUCGGUAGAGAGCCCUGAGACAAUGGCCGAUGCUUUGUUUUCAGUGGUUUUCGACAUCUUGAUCCAGCGCGUGCAUCAGGCGAUAGCCGUAGCCGUAGAUCACGAUGAGAUCAGUAACCUGAACUUACAUGUCGGCUUUGACUCAAGUCACAGGAAGAACACAGCCCUUCAUAUUGCUGCAAGAGUAGGGAACAAGAAAAUGGUGGAAGCGUUACUCAGCGAGGGUACACCAGCUUCGCUUCUCACUGAGAACUCUAAACAUGAAACCCCACUUCACAUUGCAGCUAGAUCUGGCCAUGUUCAUGUGGUAAAAUUUCUUAUUGAUUGGGCGACCCAGUCCACAGAUGUCGAAGCUGGAGGGAUACAACAGGUACUGAGAAUGAGAAACAUGGAAGGCAACACGCCAUUACAUGAAGCUGUUAGAAAUGGUCACCAUUCUACUGUGCUUGUAUUGGUGGAAGCAAAUGACUCAGAUCUGCUUGUUUCACUCAACAAUGCUGGGGAGUCUCCACUUUUUAUGGCUGUUGAUGUGAGGGCAAGUGAAAUUGUGAAAACUAUCUUACCAAAUUCAAAUCCCUAUUCUCUUCUCCAUAGAAGUUCCGACGGCCAGACGAUUCUCCAUAGGGCCAUUCUGAGAGCUGAUUUGAAGACUAUGAAAAUUAUAAUCCAACAUAUGCCGGAAUUGGUGAAUGAAAAAGAUAGCUGCGGAAGAAGUCCUCUUCACUAUGCUGCAGCCUCCGGUGCCUUAGCCUUGGUCGAUCAUUUACUACAACUAAAACCUUCCAAUGGAUCUUUCCUCGAUAACAAUUUAGCAACACCGGCUCAUAUGGCUGCAGAAAAUGGGCAUCUGAAUGUAUUGAAAUUGUUUGUCAAGCGCUGCCGCUAUUGGGUCGAAUUACUCAACAAUCACCACCAAAAUAUCCUUCAUGUAGCAGCCCAAAAUGGACAUCUUAAAGUUGUUCGAUAUAUUCAAAAUAUGUUCAUGGUGAAUGAUCUAUUGAAUGAGACCGAUGAGGAUGGAAACACCCCUUUGCAUCUUGCAGCAGCAAAAUUGCACAGCAGCAUCGUAAGUACUCUUGUCCAAACAGGAAAUAUGGAUACUACGGCAAUCAAUAAAAAAGGUGAAACAGUCCUGGAUAUUGCUAGGAAAUUUCAGCUUGUUUCACCAAGUAAUGAAGGAAAUGAAGGCACGGAUGGGAAUCAAGCCCAAGCAACUCCAAACAAGACUGGUUGUGCCGGUGAUGAAAAGAUAGAAGCAAAAAAGCAACGGACCAUAGAAAUUCUGAAGGCGGCAAGUGCAAAGCAAGCUAAAAAGUUAGAGGGAAUCCUAGAACAAGAAGAUCUUAUAAUAGAAUCAAUACGGGACAAGAGGCGUAAAGAAAUGGCUGGCACCCUCAUAGUAAUGGCAACAUUAGUUGCAACAGUCACAUUUACAGCGGCAUUCACCCUUCCAGGGGGCAUCCAAAGUGAAGGUCCACAUCAAGGGAUGGCAGUGCUAACAAGGAAAGCAGCAUUCAAAGCUUUUAUUGUCACUGAUACAGUAGCUAUGACUACGUCCAUGACUGCUGCAGUGAUUCUUUUCACAUCAUCUUGGAAUGAUGAGAAAAAUAAAUGGAAUCUGCACUUUAUUGCCUUGCAGUUGUUAUGGAUGUCACUUGCCUCAAUGGGACUGGCAUUCCUUACUGGACUGUUCACUGUUCUAUCACACUCAAUGGAGCUUGCUAUCAUGGUUUGUUUUAUUGGCUGUCUCUUCCCAAGUCUCCUCUACUUGCUGGGGCCUCUUAUUCUCCCUGAGGAAUUUGUUUGGUCACUCGUGGAUAUCAUAGAGAAAACCAAAACCAAAAUAUACUCAUUUUGGAUAUUGCACAACAAAUAAACAGGCUGACACAAGAGUGUCCCUUUGCAUGGCUUUUAACCUAGUGCAAAUGGAUCUCCAAAUUAUCACAUUAAUUUCCCAAGUCUGGAGGAGACAGAACCAGAAUUUCAGCUAAAAGGUGGGAUGGAGGAACCUCCUUUCUUGGGAAUAACAAAGCUUGCAAGGUCAUUGGUAUUGGGGUCAAUUAGAAUCAGAAUGUUUGAUGUCUUUGAAAGAGUUCUGCAAGAGGUUUGCCAAGUACUUCCCGGGGGAAAGCAGUGAUGACUUAGUUUACUUGAUCAACAGGUGCCCUACAUCAGCCAUUGGGUUCAAAACACCCCAAGAAUUAUGGACAGUGACAAUUUUUGUAGAUGAGGAAGACCCGAAAAGUUCGCAGGAAUUGUUCCAGUAAGAUUGUUGUUAGAAAGAUCUAUCGUUGUAAUAUUCUCAGAAAAUCUACCAGGAGGUAUGGUUCCAUUAAGCUGGUUCGAACUGAGGUCUAAAUAACCAAGAUAUGGUAUCUUGCUCAAGUUGGGAAUUUCUCCUUGCAAGCUGCAGUUUCUGAGGCUCAACUUCAACAAUUUAGACAUGUUGCUGUAAGAAGCUGGAAUACUCCCGUUGAAGUGGUUGUUGUCGAGCUGAACUAUAAGUAACUUUGGCAUUUCAGAGAAUUCUGGUGGAAGAUAUCCUGAUAGGUUGUUAUUGUCAAGCAGAAAGUGAACAAGUUCUGGCAAUCUGGAGAGCUCGGAUGGAAUUUGCCCACUAAUUGAAUUGUUGUUCAUGUGAAAGUGCUUUGUUUUAUUCAAGUUCGCAAAAGAUCUAGGAAUUGAUCCUGAUAUUUGGUUCUGGUCAAUCUGUAUUCUGUCCAAGUUUGGAAGAUUACCGAGCUCUUCUGGUAAAGAACCUGUUAACUUGUUGCCAUUCAGGAGCAAGAGUUCUAAAGUUGUAAUGUUUCCUA